rnacentral:rRNA from 1 species
AGAGCGAACGCUGGCGGCGUGCUUAACACAUGCAAGUCGAGUGCGCGCCUGUAGCAAUACAGGUGGCGCACGGCGCACGGGUGCGUAACACGUGGGUAAUCUGCCCUUCGAAGGGGAAUAACUCGCCGAAAGGCGAGCUAAUUCCGCAUAACAUUCCGAGAACUUCCGUUUUCGGAUUCAAAGGCGUAAGUCGUCGGAGGAGGAGCCCGCGCACGAUUAGCUAGUUGGUGAGGUAAUGGCUCACCAAGGCUAUGAUCGUUAG